UACGUAGGUUGCGAGCGUUGUCCGGAUUUACUGGGCGUAAAGCGCACGCAGGCGGUUCCGAAAGUCGAAUGUGAAAGCUCCUGGCCCAACUGGGAGAGGCCGUUCGAAACUUCGGGACUUGAAGGCGGGAGAGGCAGAUGGAAUUUCCGGUGUAGCGGUAAAAUGCGUAGAUACCGGAAGGAACACCAGUGGCGAAAGCGAUCUGCUGGCCCGCCCUUGACGCUCAGGUGCGAAAGCUAGGGGAGCGACCGGG
rnacentral:rRNA from 1 species